GUGGUUAUGUUAAAUGUUUGAUGUUGAAAUUGUUGCAUGUUGAAUUCAAACUUUUUAACAAGUCCUUGAUGUUUCAAUUUAAAAGUGACCAAUGGGGCUGAGGCUGUGUCCACUGAGGCUAAGAUGACUGCCUUUCCUGAUUGGCCUUGGCUUUUCCAUACAUUGUGUGACCCUUGCCCUAUGACCCUUUGGCUGACCUUACCGGAAGCCAUGACGACAGCAGCCUUUUGCCAUUAGACGCAGGGUGAUGGUGAGGAUUCCAAGGGUUAGACAAAACUGGUUAAUCUGAACUAGGUGACUGUUACCUUGCGUGUUUUGUGGCCAAACCACCACCAAAAAGCUCACACUGUGAUGUGGUGGAGGUGGAUACAGCAGUCGGAGAACUUCUGGCAGAGACAAAUAUGGACCACCUGUUCGUACAGAAUUCAGACUUAUUGUAGAAAAUCUUUCUAGUCGCUGCAGUUGGCAAGAUUUAAAGGAUUUCAUGAGACAAGCAGGUGAAGUAACCUAUGCGGAUGCUCACAAAGAACGCACAAAUGAAGGAGUUAUUGAGUUUCGCUCCUACUCUGACAUGAAACGUGCGCUGGAUAAACUAGAUGGUACAGAAAUAAAUGGCAGAAAUAUUAGGCUCAUUGAAGAUAAAGCACGAACGAGCCAUAGGCGGUCUUACUCUGGAA